rnacentral:rRNA from 1 species
UGGGGAAUUUUGGACAAUGGGCGAAAGCCUGAUCCAGCAAUGCCGCGUGUGUGAAGAAGGCCUUCGGGUUGUAAAGCACUUUUGUCCGGAAAGAAAUCCUUGGCUCUAAUACAGUCGGGGGAUGACGGUACCGGAAGAAUAAGCACCGGCUAACUACGUGCCAGCAGCCGCGGUAAUACGUAGGGUGCAAGCGUUAAUCGGAAUUACUGGGCGUAAAGCGUGCGCAGGCGGUUUGCUAAGACCGAUGUGAAAUCCCCGGGCUCAACCUGGGAACUGCAUUGGUGACUGGCAGGCUAGAGUAUGGCAGAGGGGGGUAGAAUUCCACGUGUAGCAGUGAAAUGCGUAGAGAUGUGGAGGAAUACCGAUGGCGAAGGCAGCCCCCUGGGCCAAUACUGACGCUCAUGCACGAAAGCGUGGGGAGCAAACAGGAUUAGUACCCUGGUAGUCCACGCCCUAAACCGAUGUCAACUAGUUGUUGGGGAUUCAAUUCCUUAGUAACGUAGCUAACGCGUGAAGUUGACCGCCUGGGGAGUACGGUCGUCAAGAUUAAAACUCAAUGAAUUGACGGGUCAUAGCUGUUUCCU